GGUCCGCUGGCUCAAUGGCAGAGCGUCUGACUACGGUUCUAUCAGGAGGUUCCAGGUUCGACCCCUGGGUGGAUCG
rnacentral:tRNA from 1 species